CUGCUUCUCUCCCAAGCGUUUAAUAUAGUGUCGUGCACACGGCACCAUCGGGGGUUGGAUUUGUGGUUCUUCUGGAAAGCCUGGGCAGAGGGAAGCUACCCAGCAGUCAUUCAAAUCCCUCCGGACUAUAAACUUCCUGUGGGCAAAGGGGGAUUAACCGAACACCAGUCCUGAAAACCUGAGCUCGGACCAGGUCGGGGCGGAACGAUUAUAGCGGCAGAGAUCGAGUUGGAGAGGAACAUUCGGCGUGCUGGAAAAGCGGCAGAUGUAUUUAAAAUACCACUGGAAUAGUCACAGUUUUCUGUCAGCUCGUCGUCAUUGGCCUAGUUUUACAAGCUAGCCCCGAUUUUUCACUUUGGACUACGGAACAAGUGGAGAGAGUUGGUAGCAAGAGCGAUGUCAGAUGCUUACCUCCGGCAAAUCAAAGUCAACAACAAUCGUCUGAUCGGUUUUUCUGACCUCGUGAAAAUUACAUUACGUUGCUGCUACUUUUAAUUAAAUUGAA